CGACUCUCGGCAACGGAUAUCUUGGCUCUCGCAUCGAUGAAGAACGUAGCGAAAUGCGAUACUUGGUGUGAAUUGCAGAAUCCCGUGAACCAUCGAGUUUUUGAACGCAAGUUGCGCCCGAAGCCUUUGGCCAGGGCACGUCUGCCUGGGCGUCACGCAAU
rnacentral:rRNA from 2 species